rnacentral:rRNA from 1 species
GGUGUGAUACCUUCUAAUUGGGGGUGCAACAUCGACCGACCUUGAUCUUCUGUGAAGGGUUUGAGUAAGAGCAUAUUUGUUACGACCGAAAGAUGGUGAACUAUACUUGAGCAGCCUGAAGCCUGAGGAAACUCAGGUGGAAGGGCGCAGCGGUACUGACGUGCAAAUCGUUCGUCAGACUUGAGUAUAGGGGCGAAAGACUAAUCGAACCAUCUAGUAGCUGGUUCCCUCUGAAAUUUCUCUCAGGAUAGCUGGAACAAUUUCAAGCAGUUUUAUCAGGUAAAGCGAAUGAUUAGAGGACUCGGAGCUCAAAGAGCUUUGACCUAUUCUCAAACUUUAAAUUGGUAAGAUCUAUUAGUUCUCUUAAUUGAACUGGUAGGCAGAAUGCAUUGUUCCAAGUGGGCUUAUCGUGGUAAGCAUGUUAAGCAAUGAGGGAUGAACCUAACGCUGAGAUAAGGCGCCAAAAU